rnacentral:rRNA from 1 species
UACAGAGGGGGCAAGCGUUGUUCGGAAUUACUGGGCGUAAAGGGCGCGUAGGCGGCCUUCUAAGUCAGACGUGAAAUCCCCGAGCUCAACUCGGGAACUGCGUCCGAUACUGGCGGGCUUGAAUCCGGGAGAGGGAUGCGGAAUUCCAGGUGUAGCGGUGAAAUGCGUAGAUAUUCGCAAGAACACCAGUGGCGAAGGCGGCUCACUGGCCCGAUACUGACGCUGAGGCACGAAAGCGUGGGGAGCAAACAGG